ensembl:lincRNA linc-23 ncRNA
GUGAUAAUGACCGUACUUCUUACAAUCAUUCGUCUUACUUUCCUGCUCUUUGUGACAUGCCUAGUUGUCGCUCUGGCCGACGAUACACCUGGAUGCAUCGAUCACAACGGAGUUAAAUUCUGUUAAACAUUUAUUUUUAAAAUAAAGUUCGAGUAU